AAUGAACGUUGGCGGCGUGGAUUAGGCAUGCAAGUCGAGCGAGAACCGUAGCAAUACGGGGACAGCGGCGAAAGGGACAGUAAUGUGUAGGUACCUACCCCCGGGUGCGGGAUAGCUGCGGGAAACUGCAGGUAAUACAGAAUAAUGUCUUCGGACCAAAGGUGUGAUUCCACCUGGGGAGGGGCCUGCAUCCUAUUAGCUUGUUGGUGGGGUAACGGCUUACCAAGGCGACGAUGGGUAGCGGGUGUGAGAGCAUGACCCGCGUCAUUGGGACUGAGAAACUGCCCAGACACCUACGGGUGGCUGCAGUCGAGGAUCUUCGGCAAUGGGCGCAAGCCUGACCGGGCGACGCCGCGUGCGGGAUGAAGGCCUUCGGGUUGUAAACCGCUGUCGUAGAGGAGGAAAUGCAGGAGGGUUCUCCCUUCUGUUUGACCUAUUCUAGGAGGAAGUACGGGCUAAGUUCGUGCCAGCCGCCGCCGUAA
rnacentral:rRNA from 1 species